AACGAACGCUGGCGGCGUGGAUAAGACAUGCAAGUCAAACGGGACAGACCGAGUAGCAAUAUUUGGAAUGUUCAGUGGCGAACGGGUGCGUAACACGUGGAUAACAUUCCGGAAAGCGGGGAAUAGCCCAGAGAAACUUGGAUUAAUACCGCAUGUGGCCGCAAGGCUAAAGACGGGGACCGCAAGGCCUGUCACUUUCCGAUUGGUCCGCGGCCUAUCAGCUAGUUGGCGGGGUAAUGGCCCACCAAGGCUACGACGGGUAGCUGGGCUUAGAGGACGACCAGCCACACUGGAACUGAGACACGGUCCAGACACCUACGGGUGGCAGCAGUCGAGAAUCUUUCACAAUGGGGGCAACCCUGAUGGAGCGACGCCACGUGGAGGAUAAGGUCUUCGGAUUGUAAACUCCUGUCAUGCGAGAACAAGGUACUCAGGCUAAUAACCUGAUUGUUUGAUGGUACCGCAAGAGGAAGAGACGGCUAACUCUGUGCCAGCCGCCGCCGUAAGAC
rnacentral:rRNA from 1 species